GCCCGUCUGGGCAGAAGGAUCCUCUUCCUGCUAUCGCUGGUAUUUCAUGGCCUUUCAGAGCAAAGAAAAUAGAAGAGAUAAAACUCCCUGCAGUAGAAGCAACACUGCUGAUUUACUUGUGUGAAUACAACUUAGAGGAUCAAAACUCAAAUGUGACACUGGUGGAUCUGUUGCACUAUUUGGUUUAGUCUGCUAUGACAUCUAAUUUUGCACUGAUUCAGAAGAAAUCAGAAGAACGAACUCCCUACACAGUUGCUAGAGAGAGUGAUUGUCAUGAGGAUAACUUCAAAACACGCAGAGGCUGAAGAGCAGAAAAACACACUGCUGAAGAGGGAAAGCCUAAUAGCAGCUCUUCCCCUGUUCUGGUGGCACACAUUUUCCCCUGAAAGCCCAACAGGAAAACCUCCUCAUGACUGUCAAGUGAUCACAAACAGUAUGAAUUUCAGAUGUGGUGUACAGAUUAAUAACAAAGAAAAGGCAUUCAGCUUCUCCUGAAGAGACUUCACAUGGGAUGAGUCUAUCCCACAUCAGUUAUUUAAAACAAACCCAACAAACAAGCACCAAGCUAGAAGAAAAGUCACUUACUGGAGAACCUCACCAACCUGUCACUGAAAUCUUCAGCUCUUGCAGUGGUUUUAACCCUGGUAUGGAGAAGAUGCUGCCUCAGCCUCCUUCCAGUGUGUCCAUGCUCAGAUAGCUGGAGCCUUACAACCCUCCUGAGAUCUCCUGGUGUACAAUACAGACUUCAGGACUCAGCUCCCUCGUCUGAAGUGUCAUUGAGACAAAGAAAAUGGUUCUUUGCAAAUGGCUAUUUGGCAUGCUGAAAGACUUCUGGUUCCUUUCCCAUUUGGUAAGACAAUGUCGUAGUGGAAUAAAACAAAUGUUUGGAAAUCAAGAUUAUUUAUUAAUAGCUACAAACCAAUGAUAACAGGCUGAGAUCCUUUCAUACAAUAAAAUAAACCAGAGUAAAGCAAGCUAGUUUUUUAUCUGCCAUCUGACACAUUCAUUGAUAAAACCUCUGCCACUUCCCUCUGAAAGGCUGGAUAUCUGUGGCAGCCAUUCUCUUUGUCUCGAGUAUGCAUAAACAAGGAAAAUCAAGCUUACGUUGGACUGAUCACAGAUGGUUCUAGGUAAAUCAAAUGGGGGAAAAAUAUAUAUCCUCAAGAUUUAAAAAGCUCAUUCCACCAAACUAGCUACAAAGCCAGCCACAGAACUGGCUAUUUCUGUAGUUUUAAAAACAUUGCAUGGGGCUACAUUCUCCUGACAGGGAGGGAAAUGGGGUGGAAGGUACAAGGAAGCAGAAUGGUUUAAUCAGCAAAUCCUUUGUCUACUAAACCCAACCCAAACCAAACAAUUUCAGGCCCAGUGAAGUUUCUACAGCAUCAGAAAGCGGCUACAGGCAAGGGGGCAGCAGAGCAGCAAAGAUGCCUGCAGGACUGAAUACAGAAUCAUCUUCAGUUAAGCACAGAGGAACUCUACACUUUGAGUAUGGAAUUUCAGAUGAUGAAAGCAUUCGAGAAAGACCAUUUACUCCUCUCCCUGGAGUUCUUGCCAAAACUGAUAUCAGCAAAGAAAUAACAGCUUAUUUCUUGAAACAGAGUGAAUCAGCUUGGUGCUGGUUCUAUUAAGCAGCGCUUGCUGAUCAGGAACUGAAGCAGGAACUCCAUAAUGGCUAAGCAAGGCAGAACAGGCUAAUUAAGUUGCUCUUUCCACUGUCAGAAAAUAAACAGCUUAUUGUUCAAAUGUAAAGCUUCCUCUUGUCUCCCCUCAUAGGACAUGAUAUCUUCUCAAACAUCCUGGUACAGGGAAAAUUAAAGCCCUUGAGACAGCAAGAAUCUUGAGUUCUGUGUUUAUUGUCAGCGUCUGAUUUACCAUGUCCUGAGGCUGGCUCGUCAGCUG